UGGGAGGAAGUAGAGAGAAGACAUUGCUGGAACUGGCAGCAGAGGAGGUAAUAAGAUCUUAUUUUCUAUUUUCACCCGGUAACUCCCGUUGGGUCUCCUUCUAUCACCAGCAGACAUGACUGCGCCAAUAUAGGGAACCCCGCAUAGAUCACAUGACCACAUUAAUGAGGAUGGGGGAGGACUGGAGUCACAUGACUGAGAGGAUACUAAACCUCACCCUGGAGAUCAUCUACCUGCUGACCGGAGAGAGAUUUCCUCUUGUGAA